UUUGGAGGCUUUCUUUGGCUUUGCAAAAAUGCACAACCAAAUUCAAUAAAGACGCUGUUGAUUUUGGUGAAAGCAGAGUUAGUCUUACGCUUUGUGGUUUUGAAAAUUCUGCCCAUUGAUGACAAUUGAAACUACUCUGAAUAUUAACUGUGAUGGAAAAAAUGCAUAGGUACUAAUAUCUGAGACUGGGAGUUACAACUUAUAACUCCGUAAUGAGAUGUACUUCUGUAGGUGCCAGACCUGCUUGGUUUUCUCACCUCUGUGCUGCACACCCAAGAGUGACACCCUGCCUCGGGCAAGGCAGAGAUACUUUCUUGUCAAAGAGUGUCUCAGGGAGCCACAAAACAAUGAAUCAAUGGAUUGAACGUCACAAGCACGCCACGAGCAUUCAAAGUGUGUAGCAGGUUUCCAGCUGACCAGCAACCGAAGGCUGGUAAGUAUGUAGUAGAAGCAGUACAUUUCAGGUCCUAGGGAGAGACAUGCGCUUCACUAAGUUACAGAUUAACUGCUGGGGUGCACUACAGCUUCUUUUAGGUUUGCCUAUUCAGACUUCUCUACUGAUGUGUCAGUGAUAUAGAUGUGGUUGUGUUUUGAGGUCAAACUUUAGCCUAACUGGUGCUCAGAUGCAACUAAGAUGUGUACCUGGUGUCAGGAAAUGGGAAGUUUUCUCUGUUUCUUAAUCUGGAGGUAACUUCAAGGGUGUAUUUCAUUUCCAAGUAGUGUCAUUCUUCUGACUUUGCUGCAGCCCAUGUAACUCACAAUUUCUCCUGCAUUUUUGUUGAAAUAGCAGCCUUCUCUCUGGUCAGCCAUUAAGCUAACACUGGGAUGUGGUCACUGAAGGUUCACUGCAUCCUAAAAGGAGAUAAGUGUCUGAUGCAAAGAAGAGACAAAGAACAAAGAGUUCAAACAUGGCUCUAGUCUGAAGACACCAUGGAAGAAUUCUACCUUCUAUCGGAACAUCAUCACUUGGAUUUAUGACCAGUGUAUUCCAGUCACCCUGAAAACAGUGAGUAUGCAUAGGAAAUAUUAAGGGUCAUAAUAUCAUCUUCUGGAGAAAAACAUUCAAGAAGGUGAGAAGUCAUCUUGAUUGAAAUUACUGAUGAUGACCAACACGAAGCCCCACUUCACAGUGUAGAACUGCCCCUGUGAUGUUAAUUUUGAAUUCAUAGAGCUGAACAAUACUUUUGCUGAGCUCUAUGAGGAGUAGAUGCUAUGGUACAUAAAAGAUUUUGAGUCAAUUGAAGAAUGUAAGAACAGUUGUGCCUGGUCAGACUGGAUGUUCUUCUAGUCCUUCUCCGGUGAUAGCAUCCCACCCAGAUGUGUAGGAGUGAAUAAAAAAGUAAGGUGAGAUUAUAGGACAGCUUCUCCAGAAUAUUCUUAUAGCCUUCGGUACUGUGCAGCUCAGGGACUUCCAUUGCCAAAUGCUCUCCCAUUCAGUGAUCCUUUAUGGAUUUUUGUAGUUGCUUAUUGAACCUUAGUGCACACAGUCUUUUGCAGCAAGGUCUGCCACCGUUUAACUAAAAGUUUAUAGAAUCACUUCCUUUGCUCUUGCCUGCUCUCUGGAAGCUUUAUUUGAUGCCCCUUAGCUCUCGUAGUGGAAGAAAAGCUAGGAGCCAUUACCCAUUUAUUUUCCCUAUAGCACAUUGUUUGAUAGAUCUCUGUGCUUGUCCUUCUUCAACCAUCUCUUCUCCAAACUUGAGUCUGAGUUUCACACAGCAGCGUGCUUCAUGCUCACGGAGACUUGAUAUACUGAAGCUGACUGUCAUAUUUGGUUGGUCUAUUUCAAAUUUCUUCUAGGAGCAGAGAUACACUGAACUUUCAGCAUGGACUAGAUAUAGCUCCUGUUUGUCAAGAGUCAGUGUUCUAUCUUGUUUGGUUUCUUGCAG
ensembl:lncRNA